rnacentral:tRNA from 1 species
GGGUUAGCUCAGCUGGUUAGAGCAUGGUGCUACUAAUGCCAAGGUUAUGAGUUUGAUCCCCAUAUGGGCCA